rnacentral:rRNA from 1 species
UGGGGAAUUUUGCGCAAUGGGCGAAAGCCUGACGCAGCGACGCCGCGUGGAGGAUGAAGGUCUUCGGAUUGUAAACUCCUUUUGUAGGGAAAGAUAAUGACGGUACCCUGCGAAUGAGCCACGGCUAACUCUGUGCCAGCAGCCGCGGUAAGACAGAGGUGGCAAGCGUUGUUCGGAAUUACUGGGCUUAAAGGGCGCGUAGGUGUCCUGGCAAGUCAGAUGUGGAAUCUUUCUGCUUAACGGAAAAAUUGCAUUUGAAACUGCCGGGAUUGAGUCAGACAGGGGAUGGCGGAAUUCCUGGUGUAGCGGCGAAAUGCGUAGAUAUCAGGAGGAAGGCCUGUGGUGAAGACGGCCAUCUGGGUCUGAACUGACACUGAGGCGCGAAAGCGUGGGUAGCAAACAGGAUUAGAUACCCUGGUAGUCCACGCCCUAAACGGUGGGUACUAGGUGUGGGGCUCGCAAGGGUUCCGUGCCGAAGGGAAACCAUUAAGUACCCCGCCUGGGGAGUACGGCCGCAAGGUUG